rnacentral:rRNA from 1 species
ACGAACGCUGGCGGCACGCUUAACACAUGCAAGUCGAACGAGAGAAGAGGAGCUUGCUUUUCUGAUCUAGUGGCGGACGGGUGAGUAACACGUGAGCAAUCUGCCUUUCAGAGGGGGAUACCGAUUGGAAACGAUCGUUAAUACCGCAUAACAUAAUUGAACCGCAUGAUUUGAUUAUCAAAGAUUUAUCGCUGAAAGAUGAGCUCGCGUCUGAUUAGCUAGUUGGUAAGGUAACGGCUUACCAAGGCGACGAUCAGUAGCCGGACUGAGAGGUUGAUCGGCCACAUUGGGACUGAGACACGGCCCAGACUCCUACGGGAGGCAGCAGUGGGGAAUAUUGCACAAUGGAGGAAACUCUGAUGCAGCGAUGCCGCGUGAGGGAAGAAGGUUUUAGGAUUGUAAACCUCUGUCUUCAGGGACGAAAAAAGACGGUACCUGAGGAGGAAGCUCCGGCUAACUACGUGCCAGCAGCCGCGGUAAUACGUAGGGGGCAAGCGUUAUCCGGAUUUACUGGGUGUAAAGGGAGCGUAGACGGCACGGCAAGCCAGAUGUGAAAGCCCGGGGCUCAACCCCGGGACUGCAUUGGAAACUGUCGUACUUGAGUAUCGGAGAGGUAAGUGGAAUUCCUAGUGUAGCGGUGAAAUGCGUAGAUAUUAGGAGGAACAUCAGUGGCGAAGGCGGCUUACUGGGCUUUAACUGACGCUGAGGCUCGAAAGCGUGGGGAGCAAACAGGAUUAGAUACCCUGGUAGUCCACGCCGUAAACGAUGAUUACUAGGUGUGGGGGGACUGACCCCUUCCGUGCCGCAGCAAACGCAAUAAGUAAUCCACCUGGGGAGUACGACCGCAAGGUUGAAACUCAAAGGAAUUGACGGGGGCCCGCACAAGCAGUGGAGUAUGUGGAUUAAUUCGAAGCAACGCGAAGAACCUUACCAGGUCUUGACAUCGUAUGCAUAGCUCAGAGAUGAGUGAAAUCUCUUCGGAGACAUAUAGACAGGUGGUGCAUGGUUGUCGUCAGCUCGUGUCGUGAGAUGUUGGGUUAAGUCCCGCAACGAGCGCAACCCUUACUGUUAGUUGCUACGCAAGAGCACUCUAGCAGGACUGCCGUUGACAAAACGGAGGAAGGUGGGGAUGACGUCAAAUCAUCAUGCCCCUUAUGACCUGGGCCUCACACGUACUACAAUGGCUGUCAACAGAGGGAAGCAAAGCCGCGAGGUGGAGCGAACCCCUAAAAGCAGUCUUAGUUCGGAUUGUAGGCUGCAACCCGCCUACAUGAAGUCGGAAUUGCUAGUAAUCGCAGAUCAGCAUGCUGCGGUGAAUACGUUCCCGGGCCUUGUACACACCGCCCGUCACGCCAUGGGAGUCGGUAACACCCGAAGCCUGUAGUCUAACCGCAAGGAGGACGCAGUCGAAGGUGGGAUUGAUGACUGGGGUG